AACGACUCUCGGCAACGGAUAUCUCGGCUCUCGCA
rnacentral:rRNA from 1 species